UACGUAGGGUGCAAGCGUUGUCCGGAAUUAUUGGGCGUAAAGAGCUCGUAGGCGGUUUGUUGCGUCGGCUGUGAAAUCCCGAGGCUCAACCUCGGGUCUGCAGUCGAUACGAGCAAACUAGAGUGUUGCAGGGGAGACUGGAAUUCCUGGUGUAGCGGUGAAAUGCGCAGAUAUCAGGAAGAACACCUAUGGCGAAGGCAGCUCUCUGGGACGGUACUGACGCUGAGACGCGAAAGCCCAGGGGAGCAAACAGG
rnacentral:rRNA from 1 species